GGUUCCAUAGUGGGGCGGUUGGCGCGUCUGCUUUACAUGCAGAAGGUCCUGGGUUCGCGCCCCAGUGGAGCCA
rnacentral:tRNA from 1 species